rnacentral:rRNA from 1 species
GACGAACGCUGGCGGCGUGCUUAACACAUGCAAGUCGAACGGAAAGGCCCGGCUUUUGUGUUGUUCUCGAUUGGCGAACGGGGGAGUAACACGUGAGUAACCUGCCCUUAUCUUUGUGGUAACUUCAGGAAACUGGGGCGAUUACCGGGGAUGAUCUUCUGCUCCAUGUGGGUGGUUGGUAAGUGUCGGCGUUGGUGGAUGUACUCGCUGCUUAUCAGCUUGUUUGGGGGGUAGUGGAGUACCAAGGCUUUGACGGGUAGCCCGCCUGAGAGCGUGAACGGGCACCUUGGGACUGAGAUACGGACCAGAAGCCUAUGGGAGGCAGCAGUGGGGAAUCUUGCACAAUGGGCGGAAGCCUGAUGCAGCAACGUCGCGUGCGUGAUGCCGGGUUACGGGUUGUAAACAGAUUUGGAAUGUGACGAAGAGUGAGUGACGGUAAUGGGUAAAGAAGCACCGGCUAACUACGUG